UGCAGGUAAGCGGAUCUCCAGGAGGAGGGUUGGGGACCACUGCUCUACAUGGCUGAGGAUCAUCAUGUUUGUGUAUGCGCUGGUCAAUUAGGGUGACCAGCUAAACGCGCACCAGACCAGCAGGGCGCGCAGUAAAAAUAUGGUUAAUAUCAUACACUGAGUUGCCAGUCCAGCUUGCCAUGCGCUCGGAAAUGUGCAGUCACUGGCCAUUUUAUCAGCGUUUUCCACGAUAGAAACUUUUCUGGAUUUACUUUUGUGCGUUUAUGAUUUUCCACCUUGAAAACGUUUGUGAUUGACAGCGACUGCUCGUGUGAUGGACAGAGCAGGGGAUGGUCCCCCUGUAGUCCAGGUGGGGGCGCUAAUUCUGUAACCGUGAUUCUCGAAGCUCAAUAAAGUGAAGGAGAUCCGCUGUGGUCAGAAGCUGCUCUGGUGAUGAAGGUGAGGAGCUGUCUGCGCUUCUGGAUGCUGGUCUGCAUUCAUCGCGAGAGAAAAUUUUCUUCACACAUUUCAGGAGGUGCUACCAAGAGGAAUAUGUCACUAAAAUG
ensembl:lncRNA